UGAACGCUGGCGGCAGGCCUAACACAUGCAAGUCGAGCGGUAACAGGGGAAGCUUGCUUCCCGCUGACGAGCGGCGGACGGGUGAGUAAUGUAUGGGGAUCUGCCCGAUAGAGGGGGAUAACCACUGGAAACGGUGGCUAAUACCGCAUAAUCUCUUAGGAGCAAAGCAGGGGAACUUCGGUCCUUGCGCUAUCGGAUGAACCCAUAUGGGAUUAGCUAGUAGGUGGGGUAAUGGCUCACCUAGGCGACGAUCCCUAGCUGGUCUGAGAGGAUGAUCAGCCACACUGGGACUGA
rnacentral:rRNA from 1 species